rnacentral:rRNA from 1 species
AUUGAACGCUGGCGGCAGGCCUAACACAUGCAAGUCGAACGAGCGGCGGACGGGUGAGUAAUGUCUGGGAAACUGCCUGAUGGAGGGGGAUAACUACUGGAAACGGUAGCUAAUACCGCAUACCAUCAGAUGUGCCCAGAUGGGAUUAGCUAGUAGGUGGGGUAAUGGCUCACCUAGGCGACGAUCCCUAGCUGGUCUGAGAGGAUGACCAGCCACCCUGGAACUGAGACACGGUCCAGACUCCUACGGGGGGCAUCCGUGGGGAAUAUUGCACAAUGGGCGCAAGCCUUAUGCAGCCAUGCCGCGUGUAUGAAGAAGGCCUUCGGGUUGUAAAGUACUUUCAGCGAGGAGGCGUUACUCGCAGAAGAAGCACCGGCUAACUCCGUGCCAGCCGCCGCGGUAAUAC